rnacentral:tRNA from 1 species
UUCUUCUCAGAUGAUGAUCCCAGCCUUCUGGCGAUCUAGACAAAACAAGUCCACCGUGGGCUUUGAAAAACGCUUUCCUUGAUAAAAUUUAAGCGUUUUAUAAGAGGAUGCCGGGGAAGGUUUUCCGGUUUAUCCCGGAGGGCUUGUAGCUCAGUUGGUUAGAGCGCGCGCUUGAUAAGCGUGAGGUCGGAGGUUCAAGUCCUCCCAGGCCCACCAGUUUAUCCAUUACUUUCAUAAGUGCUUUUAAAAAAUAAGUACUUCUAAAAAGAUUGCUUCUAAAAAGCUUAUCAAAAUUGGCAGGCUUAUUGCUUUUGUGUGAGUAAUCCAAAGUUAAAGCAAAUUAAUGGCAAAAAAACAGUUCAAAUGCUAAAUACUAAGGAGUCAAAAUUCCUUGCAAAGUGAUUUUUACAGCGUCCAUUUGGUUGAUAUAAUUCCAAAUGCUCAUAGACGUCAAUGCCUAUAUGAAACUAUCGGUUCAAUCAUAUCGCUUUGAGUUAUAUAGAUUUUGUAAUCCCUCUUUUGAUCGUUUUAAACGCUUUAUUCUGAUUUAGGGGCCGUAGCUCAGCUGGGAGAGCACCUGCUUUGCAAGCAGGGGGUCGUCGGUUCGAUCCCGUCCGGCUCCACCAUAAGGUCAUCAUCAUUGUUGUAAGAACAGUUUUGUAAAAGGUUU